GAUGAACGCUGGCGGCGUGCUUAACACAUGCAAGUCGAACGGGAAACAUUUCAUUGAGGCUUCGGCGGAUUUGGUCUGUUUCUAGUGGCGGACGGGUGAGUAACGCGUGGGUAACCUGCCUUGUACUGGGGGAUAACAGCCAGAAAUGGCUGCUAAUACCGCAUAAGCGCACGGGACCGCAUGGUCCUGUGUGAAAAACUCCGGUGGUAUAAGAUGGACCCGCGUUGGAUUAGCUAGUUGGCAGGGCAGCGGCCUACCAAGGCGACGAUCCAUAGCCGGCCUGAGAGGGUGAACGGCCACAUUGGGACUGAGACACGGCCCAGACUCCUACGGGAGGCAGCAGUGGGGAAUAUUGCACAAUGGGGGAAACCUUGAUGCAGCGACGCCGCGUGAAGGAAGAAGUAUCUCGGUAUGUAAACUUCUAUCAGCAGGGAAGAUAAUGACGGUACCUGACUAAGAAGCCCCGGCUAACUACGUGCCAGCAGCCGCAGUAA
rnacentral:rRNA from 1 species